GACCCUUGAAGCAGUCUGUACCUUUAUUGCCUUCUGUGCUCUCUUCUUUUCUUCCAGUCAGGCUUAGACCUCUGGUCCCAAGUGCGCUCGUGAAACUUCCUGCAGCACUGGUGGGCUUUUCAGACAGUAUCCGUGGGAAGUCCAGAGCGUGACAGAAAGCUAUUUUUUGAGACUUUUGGUACAGACAGGGUGUGCAACAGCGAAUGAUAGUGUGUGCGUAUAACAGUCACUAUGUUGUGGAGUGUAAAGGUCUGUGUGGUCCUUUGACAGCGUUUCUUAUCCCUUGCAUGUUUUCCUAGGACAAAAUCCUCUCUGGGUUGCACAUGCUGGCUGGCUGGUGGUCCCUCUUGGCAAAGAGAUUGUGUAUGGGGUGCACUGGAUGGCUCCUGUUUUGCGAACAAACCCGUGGGAGGUCAAUCGGGUUCCCAGUGUGCCAGCAAGAGAAGUGGGACGACAUCCUAAACACAGCUAAGCAGAAGUCUCUUGGUGGGAUGGAUUGCUACUCACCAGAAGAGGGAUCACCUCCUGAAUAAUCAGAUUAUCUGAAAUCCACUGCUGGAGCUACACUUCCAACUGUUGAGUGGAUGGACCAUUUUGCGUAUUUUUAGUUUGAUUUUACUAAGCCUAUUUUGCCUUUUUACUAGAUAAAAAUGGUGUGGGAAAAGUUUUUAUUCUUAUUUUAUGGGUGUACAAUUUUGUCUCAAUUGAUUGAGAAUGAGGAUACUCAGCCAAAUUUAGCUUGGGAGUUGAUACAAGGAUUUAUGCAUAUUUGGAACCACACGAAUCAAGGAAUAUGUAUUAACCUCCCUAACUCUGCAUCAGAGGGGCUUAGAUUUAUGAUGAUUUGGUUAAAUUUUUCAGAAAUAUUAACAAGAGAACUAGACAACCUUAAAAAAGCAGGAGGAAAUGUUACCUGGGGAAUGAUCGAGUCCCCCUUCCUAGACCAGAAGGAAGGACAACAAUGGGCUGCAAAUGGGACAUGGGUAGAAUACAAGAAAGCCUUUUACCACCUCCCACACAACUCUACCUGGAACCAUUUAUGGAAUCAGACAUGUUAUCGAUCAUUAGACGCUAACCCUACUGAGACAUUGCAAAAUGUCACUUCUAUCCCUUGCACGAUUGUACCAUGGUGGGAUUCUCCUGCUGAGGGUGGGUUUUUCGAACAUGAGUACAAUUUACAUUGGGAUGCAGGAUGGUGUAUACAGAUCCCCAGUAACCCAGGAACCCCACACCAAGUUAACCAAACAAAUUAUGAAUGGGCUUGGUCUCUGAAACAAAUCUUUGACCCCAUAUCUCCCCUACAAUGGGCCUCCAGGGCCCCCACAGGGGAAAUAGUGGAAUGGGAAGUGGGGAAAUCGGACUGUAAGGACCAGCAGAUCACACUACCUAAUGGAGAGAGCAUCUGCUGGAAAGUGAGGAACACCAGAAGCAUCAUCCAAAGUAAAUCAGAGACUUCCUUUCUGAAUUGUUCCCGUAUAUUAGAUUGUACCACUGGUGCAGGUGAGCCGAUAGAAACUUGGUAUAUCUCGGAGCUGAGAACUUUUAUCCGGGACAUGUGUACCUGUUGGGGUUAUCCCAACUAUGGCUAUCUAAAUCGAGACACCCGAUGCAAUGGGUCUUACGAAAAUUCGGAGACAGCACUAUCCUGCGGUAUUCCCGUUACACACGGCCCUGACCCAAGAAGGGUCUUGAAUUCAAGUACAGAAGCACAGGAAGUUCCCCGAGGCGACCUGUAUCAGUGUUCACAAGCCAAAUAUCCGGCUCCGAGGGGAACAGUAUGGGCAUGUUCAGAUGGGAAAAUGUAUUCCCACUUGAACAUGUAUGAUAUGGCUGGACUCCAGUGUACUAUUGGGUUUCCUACCAUGUGUCCAUCUAAAACAUUCAAUUAUACACUUUAUUGUAACAAAAAGGUGCAGAGAGAAAUCCGCAAUCCAGUAGAUGCAAAAGGGUGGAUUGAGGGGAUUCAAGUCCCUGACUAUUAUACCUGGGGACAAAACGUUGCUUUAGACUUAGAAUUAUUUUUUGUGCCCAGUGGAGUUAAUCAACGGCAUCAGUAUGUCUUGGAGAACUUAACUAGGCAAAUCCAUGUGUUGAGCAAUUGGACCGAACGUGCCUAUGGGAAACUGAAUUUGCAGGCCCAACAGGUACCAAAAAUGGCUUUGCAGAAUCGAUUAGCCCUGGAUAUGGUGUUGUUGAAAGAGCACGGAGUAUGUGGGAUGCUAAACCUAACGGAUGGAGAAUGCUGUGUCACUGUUCAUAAUGCUGCCACCACCAUGGAAGAAGCACGUCAGAAGAUGAAGGAGGUUGCUGAACAGACGGGAGAACUAUUUCAAGCAAUGCAACCGAAGGAAUAGGUUGAUGGACUGAGCCCGGAUCGUGGAUCACAUUGCUACUAAAGUGCCUUGGACUUACGGGAUGGGGAAAAUAGCAUGUACAUAUUGCCUUUAUGAUAUUUUGUGGAUUUUUGGUUUUGAUGAAAGGUCAGAAAGUCACAUGAAACUGUUUGCUUGUGGCAAGCUAUAAGAAGAGGAUGAAGGAGAUUGUUGGGACUUCUGAGAAGACUGACAACCUCGUAAAGUAAAAAAAUGACAUAAAAAAGCUCUUGUUGAAUGAGGAAUGUUUGAGUUCACCUCCAAAGGCUCUUAGCGAUGCUCUGGUGGGAAUUUCUUUGCCAGAAUUGCUUAGCAGAUCAUGCAAGUGUGUUAGUACUUAUAAUUUAUAGGAUAAAUAUGAAGACACACGAGCAUGAUUUAUUGAUAGAGCAUAAGCUAUAUAUAGUGCCUUUAACUGUAUUAUUAAAACUGAAGGUAAAUAAUUAAUGGAAUGAAGAAAAGAUACAUAAAACUCUGGGGAGUUUUGAUGGGAAGCAUUCCUGUCUUGCGGUAAUUAAAACUGAAUAUAUUCUGAGUAUA